UCGUCGUCGAGCUUAUGAAAGACGUUAGUAGUUACCGCUGCGGCACUUGUAACUCUUCUUCUAUAACCAAACCUUAUUUUACAAAGCCUCUCUCAACCGGCCCCGUCGAUAGCCCCAACGUCGAUACAUUUUUCAGCAAUUUAUCCCAGCCCAUCGGAAAAUUCGCUAGUAAGGACAGACCUCUAAAUUUGUUGAUGUUUGCGUAAUAGGUUGAUUUAUCGGACUAUCACAUCCGGUCUUUCGGAAAAGGGCUAUAAGGGAAGCAAUUUGAAAAUGAUCCACGCGUUCAUUGAGGAUAAGAAUACACUCUCCAAAGAAGUGAUGGAUAUAUAUUUGGAAAACCGAAUCUUUACCUGGAAUUUUUCCAAAGGAAAUAAAUAUGCAAUGUUACAUGAAAUUCUUCGUUGGGCACUGAAAAAACGUGCUCUACCAACCAAUUUGGUUGUACUCUCAAGAAACAUCAAUGAAGAGGAGAAGGAGGUCUCAAGGGUUCUUCAAAGUUUGAGAAAGGAUGGUAGGUUCAAUAUUGUCUUUCAUGAUCCUACUACCCUGUUACUUGCAUGUGUUGGAGAACCCAUCAAAGAACCCAUCAAGAACCGCUGCGCCUCUUGUAAUUCUAUUAUAGUCAGGGAAGGCCAAAGUAGCUCGCAAAACCAAUAAGAUCUCAAGAGGUGGAGAGAGUAUUCUCGUCUUUAGACUCUAUGAAUAAAUUAUUACUAGUUAAGUUUGUAUUCAUCAAUGUUAUGAGCUGUGUUGGUCUAUGAAUAAAUUAUUACUAAGUUAAGUUUGUAUUCA